GGCAGUCAUCAGCCCCUGGUGCCAACCCCCAACCCUGCUUAACUCCAGCCACCUGGCAGAGGUGGGCGGAGGGGAAGAGCUGGGCGGCUGCACGGGUCGGGGUCCCGAUACACACACUCUCUGCUUCCGCACAGAGCGGUCCUGGCAGCCCCGUGGUGCGCUCAGCUGCCACCACUUCACUGUGGGCUCCCUUCAAGGCCCCUUCUUUCCUCCUUGAUGCUCCACUCACUCAUGGCCACAUGGGGCAGAUGGGAAGGGGCCAGAGUCUGAGGCAGGGACCUCAGGAUCUGCCCCAGCUGCAGAAGCUGAUAAGAAGACUGAGCUUAGCUGGGAAAUGGGAGGCACAGUGGACAGUGAGAGAGAGAGAGAGAAAAGUCUUCCUUUUUCUGUUGGUUCACCCCCCUCAAUGGCCGCUGCGGCCAGUGCACCGCACUGAUCCGAAGCCAGGAGCCAGACGCUUCCUCCUGGUCUCCCACGUGGGUGCAGGGCCCAAGCACUUGGGCCAACUUCCACUGCACUCCCAGGCCACAGCAGAGAGCUGGACUGGAAGAGGAGCAACCGGGACAGAAUCCAGUGCCCUGACCGGGACUAGAACCUGGGGUGCCGGCGCCGCAGGCAGAGGAUUAGUCUAGUGAGCCGUGGCGCCGGCCAUAAGCAGGGAAGUUUAAGAUAGGAAUUUUCACCCUAAAGAGCAAAGGGCAUCUUUCAAAGAAGGGUAACCAUUUAGUGUUUCCGCAGCUUCUGGCUUCUCUGAGCACAGGACCCUCCCUGGCCCACCCAUGGAGUGCUUGUUAGAAAGCUGACAAAACAGCCCAGCUGGGGAAAUGUUGCUUUGGCGGCUUUUCCGGGAAUCUGCCUGCUCAGGUUUGACUGGCUUGUCCCCUCUGAAAGCUCAUGUUGAAAUUUAAUUCCCAUUCCCAUUGAGAGGUGUGAAGAGGGUGGAAAAUCUCGCUAGAGCAUCCACAGGUAGGGGCUUUGGGAGCUGAUUAGCACUGGAUCAGAUCAUCAGCACAGACUGGAUCCUGGUGGCUUUAUAAGGGACGAGCCCAUCACACUCCGCGCUCUGUGGCUUGACUCGCGUGGCGUCCUGUGCCGCUUCAGGACUCUGCCAGCAAGAAGACCAUCACCAGAUGCAGCCCAUUGACUUUGAACCUUCAGAAACGACCGUGUAUCCAUCACUCAAGAACUGUAUUGUACCUGUUCCCUGCUUCGAGUGAUCCUCUCGGACAGCAGAUCCGAGUUGUUCCUUUCCUCUUCCAGCUCCAUCUCCAGCUGAGACACCUUGUCCUGAGAAAGACCACAAACAUGCACCACGUAACUUACACUGAUCUGGAUUAGCAGCAAGGGUUGCCCCAAAUGCAAAUGAGACGUGAGAGUGACUGGAGUUCAGAAACACGAGCCAUCUCCUCCUUCCACUGCCCGGAGCAGGUACUCUUGGAACUACGUUUUCUUGCUUUCAUAACAUAAAAUGAAAUUGUGCAUGUAGAAAACACAGCAAAAAGAGUACCCCUAACCUAAAGGCUAAUGACACUUUAGCGUUUCUCCUUUAAAAUCACUGUCCUCCCUAUAAAUCAGUAACUCUAACAGCAACUUGGUUAGGUAGGUUUGUUUAAAGACAUUUUUUCCCUAAAUUUAUCAUGCUCAGAACCAUGUAUCUCUCCCCCGCUCAUGGUUUCCAGCAGCCUUGCCCUGCCUCUCUUGUAGAAAAUCCCAUCCGCCUUGUACUGUGCAUUGAAUUAACACAGACAAUGCAGGCCAAUACUGUGAAAUUCAUCAUCACUAAGAAUAACAAAUUGUGUCUUCCUUGUUGGCUUCCAAUUUAACCUCAUUGUGUAUUAAGGCAAGAUUAGUUUUGUGUAUAAAAAGGGGAAGAGGGGCACUUCUAACACAAACCAUGCUCUUAAGAACUGGGGGGAUACAGGCUUUGUGCAUGCAACGCCAGCCAAUGUGUCAAAUGUCUGGGUAAGCUCAGAGCCACAAACUCUAAAAUGCAACUGGCAUGCAUGAGCGUGUAGUAUUUAUACACAGAUACUGUUUUCUGUAGUUGCCAGAGUUGAUUGACAAAUGGUAGAUGCCUCUGGAAAGCAUCAAAUGCAAGUGCACAGAACUCACAUCAAUGACUUACAUGGCUGUAAGUGGUCAAAAUCUACAGGGAUGCCUGGGAGCUCUCAGAACAGAGCUGGGUGCUGAACCAAAGGCUCGUAGCUGCUCAGUAGGUCUCAAUUUCUCCAAGGUCAAUUUCACUGAGCUCCAUUUACAUACCACAGCCGCCUGAAUUUCUGAGUUUACAGAAAAUGCCCAUUAUUGAGAGAGCUCUUGAGUCCCGAGAAUUAAUUUGUGAAAUGCUAACAAGGGAACAGCAAGACAUCAGUCACAGCAAGACAGUGCUUCCGGCCACCUCCUGGGGCAUGAACCGCCCCCCUCAAGUGUGCAUCACAGUGGCAGGGCCUGGAGAGUCAUUUUGUAAUUAAUGGAGAAGUUAUCUGAAAUAUUGCACAGGGGCAAAUGAAGCUUAGCUAUUCCACUGCUUCCAGACUGUAAGUCAGCCAGAGGAAAUGCUGGUUUUACUCAGAAUAGUCUAGAAGGAGACAAUGUGGUAACCUGAUCAACACCAUCAGGAAGGUGUGUUCUACAAAAUCCACACUGUGCGGAACCCAGCAGGUGCAUGCAGGGUGCCCAGGCCAGAGCUGCCAACACCAAAGCUGCUUCUCAUUGAUGAGGCUGUAGAAACCAGGUCAUUCUGGCCCCCUAAAGUAACUCAUUUCUAGUUACCUGGGAUGAUUUCCACUUGCUUUAAACUGAUCUCCCUUAAAAAGAUCAAAAUAACGACAUGAGCAAAAUGUACAACCAGCCUACAAUAGAGUAGUGAACCCGUAAUCAGGUUAGUCAGCUCUCUGAAGGAGGCCCCAUCUAAUAACAUCUUCAACACUGAAACAUCAGUCCCUAGGUAUAAACACUUACGAAAUCCUCUGCAGGCUGGAAAAAGUCAUUUCUGUUUAUCUGCAAGGUUGAAUUCCAUUGAUUUUGAAUUCAAGUUUCUCCCCCCGGCCUUGAGUCCUGUCUGUCUGACAUCAAAACCAUGACAAUAUUAACCUCUCCCCAAGAGUCUGAGGCUUUCUCUUAGUCUCUCCCCGUAAGUCCCAGUGUGGUUCUGGUUUGAGGUCAGUGUUGUUCCUGGGGACUGGCUUUAACGUUCUUCCUGUCAUCGUCAGCAGACUGUUCCUAUUCAGACUCUAUCCCUUUGUUUAGGUUCUUCUUGUGUGUUGUGUCUUCAGCCUGUGACCACAUCCUCCCCCCUCCCCCCCAGCUGAGGACAACACUGAGCUCUUUCUGAUACAGUGUUCUGGAUUCUGUGUGCAACAAUGACUUGAGCCACAGUUUGUUGCCAGCUCUGGCAAAGCUGUAUACUCUGGGAGAAAUGGACCAGAAACAGAAGUACGUAGAAUUGAGUGCUGACGGUCCCUAGGAGGUAGCUGGUUUGGGUCUAGGGUGUCGGCUCAGCCCCUGUCCUGACACACGGCAGUCUUUUCACCUUUUAGUUGGAAGCUCUGCCCAAAAGCAUAAAUGGAAGUAAACCACCUGUGUGCUUGUGCCUCUCACCUAACCUCUUGGGGAGUAGGCUCCAUCUCCUUUCAAGACUUCAGAGUAAAUGAUGUCCCCUUCAUUCCUUCUAGCACUGACAUCCUCUAAGACUAUGAACUACCAGCUUCUUCCCACACCAAGAAAUGACCUUCCUAAGGCCUGGAAGUUGAAAGGAAUAAAAAUGCAGCCCUUGCCCAAGGCUGAGGGCGUGCAGAGAGGCAGGGCUCCCCCCCUGGGGCCGGGCCCCCGCCCACAGACCUCCAGCUGCUUCACCAGUCUGCCUCGGUCAUCCCUGAGGUGACUCUUGGCCUCCAGCUCAUACUCCAGGUCUUUCAGCGUCUGCUCCAGGAGCUGCCUCUUCGUGAGUGCUUCGUCCUGAGCUCUCUGGUAGUCCCGUAACUCUUCCUCCAUCAGGCGCAUCUGGGGCGGGGGCAGACAGCAGACAGCAAGAGCACAGGCUGAGCCCAAAGGCAAGGAGCUCUGGGGGUGCCCACUCCGCAGGAGACCUUGAGCAACUCCCACCUGCUCCUGCGUCUUAGUGUCCUCUUCCAUUAAAGAAAAGGGGAGUGUCUUCCUGCUACAAGAAGCAACUUACUGCAUUAAAAGGUCAAUUUAA